AGGAUGCCGUGACGUCAGCGUAGUCAGGAAGCGGUCUUUUUACAUAGCGAGUCGAUAUUCAUUCAACAAUGUGAAGGAGGUUUUAACCUUAAACGAGGAAUACGAAGCUAGCCAAUUGGAUGUUAAAAACGAAGAGUGCCGUGUCCAGCCAUAUGCGUUUGAGCCGAUAAUUAGGCGUAAAUUCUGGGACAACACCGAGGAAAGUGGAGAGGGGAGGAGUAGCGAUGAUGACCACGCUAGCAGGCCGCCAGCAGGCCGCAAGUGAAGAGGAUGUUGACGACCAUUCCCAACGACUAACAAAUACUGACCGAAACAGUCUGUGGACCUGGAGCCUCUGAAGACCCUACAGUCCUUGACCAGCAAUGUUACGUUCAAGAAAACUGGAGAACUAGAGGACAAAAAAA